UACGUAGGGGGCUAGCGUUGUCCGGAAUCAUUGGGCGUAAAGAGCGUGUAGGCGGCUCGGUAAGUCCGCUGUGAAAGUCGGGGGCUCAACCCUUGAAUGCCGGUGGAUACUGUCGAGCUAGAGUGCGGAAGAGGCGAGUGGAAUUCCUGGUGUAGCGGUGAAAUGCGCAGAUAUCAGGAGGAACACCGAUUGCGAAGGCAGCUCGCUGGGACGUUACUGACGCUGAGACGCGAAAGCGUGGGGAGCAAACAGG
rnacentral:rRNA from 1 species